GUCUUCGUGGAGUAGGAACUCGCUCCUGUCCCAUAGCUUGGUAAUCACAUCUGCGGGGGGCGCCGGUGGUUCGAAUCCACCCGAAGACA